AGUGCUGCUGGUGCCGGAGUCCGGAAGCUGACGGCGGUGCGUGGAAAUCGUCGCGGAGUUCAGUGUUUUGCUUUUGGGGAUCACAAACUCAGGGGCACACUGGCCCGGCGGGCGCAUCCAGCCGUUGGCUUGCCUAGGCUGGAUUGCAGCGGUGCGAUCAGGACUCAUUGCAUCCUCAACCUCCCCGACUCAAGCAGUCCUCCCACCUCAGCCUCCUGAGUAGCAAGGCUACAGGUGUGUGCCACCACGUCUGGUAAUUUUUUCUACUUUUUUUGUGUAGAGACGAGCUCUUGCUAUGUUGCUUAGACUGGUCUUGAACUCCUGGUCUCAAGUGAUCCUCCCACCUUGGCCUCCCAAAGUGCUGGGAUUACAGGCGUGAGGCACCAUGCCUGACCCAUUUGUUUUCUUUGACUUGUGUUAGAGCAUCCUAGUCUAAAGAAAAAGUGGCCACACAAUGUUCUUUAUGUGGACUUCUGCAGGAAUGGUCCUCUCACCCAGUCACCCAGUCCUGGCAAUUUGCUGCCAUUUUUUUUGGUCAUUUUUCCUGGCUAAGUCUAGUUCCAGCUCCAGAGAUUAGAAUAUGAAAGGAUUAACCCCCCAAAAUGGGAUGGAGGGAUGAAUGAGUUGAAAGUUUUUGUUUCCCUUUUCCAAACACUGAGUUGGCUCUCAUCAGCACAGCUGUCUCUGGGGAUGUAUAAAGCGUAAUUAAUACAUUUUAAAUGUUUGGUUUCAACUUUUUUUGCUAGUGAGAUAAGAUAAGGAGUUUUUGUCAUGACAAGGGAAGGGGUGGAUUUCUUUCUAUCAUUUGCAGGAGUGGGUACCACUUGGAUCCUGUAGGUAGACAGUUGCAUGAGAUGAUAAACUUUAUAGGGGGCAUGGAAGAAAGCCAGUGGAGAUGGGGAAGGAAUGGCUAGACUCUUUAGCUUCCUGACAACCAGAGGGGGAAAAUGAACUUCCAGAGAAUUUGGGUUUUGCCUUAAAUAUUGAAAUUUGCUUGGGCAUUUGGUCCACUUCUUAAUUAACCUGGGUCCAGAACUGAAUGUCUUUGCAGUCGGAGCUCAGAAUUGCUUUGGUAUCUCACAGUACACAUAGCAUUUCCCUGUUGGUGUACGGUAGGCCAAGGACCAGAGCAUGUGUUGUGCUGUAGCCAAAAGGAAUAGUCUCCAUGACCUUAUCGUUGGAGAGAUCAUUGGACACUGAAAUAGUUGAGCAUGGACACUCUAAGAUGGGUGGAAAUACUAGAAGAGUUAUUAUUAGCAGAGGGAUCUAUGUAUCCAUAAGAUCCAUAUUUUUAAUUAUAAUGUUCAUAUCUUCUAUAUUCUUUUUAAUAAAUGGUGCUGGGAAAACUGGCUAGCCAUAUGUAGAAAGCUGAAACUGGAUCCCUUCCUUACACCUUAUACAAAAAUUAAUUCAAGAUGGAUUAAAGACUUAAACGUUAGACCUAAAACCAUAAAAACCCUAGAAGAAAACCUAGGCAUUACCAUUCAGGACAUAGGCAUGGGCAAGGACUUCAUGUCUAAAACACCAAAAGCAAUGGCAACAAAAGCCAAAAUUGACAAAUGGAAUCUAAUUAAACUAAAGAGCUUCUGCACAGCAAAAGAAACUACCAUCAGAGUGAACAGGCAACCUACAAAAUGGGAGAAAAUUUUCGCAACCUACUCAUCUGACAAAGGACUAAUAUCCAGAAUCUUUAAUGUCUUGAUUUCUUUACCUGUUAAUUCCUAACUGACACUUUAGUGUGUAUUAAAAACUCCCGCCGUGAUGGUGGAACUGUCAUUUUCUUAUUGUAGUUCCAUCAAAGAUAUAUAAAUUAUAUAUACAUAUAUACAAAAAUUAUAUAUAUGUACACACAUAUACAUGUAUGACUGUUUAAGCUAUUUACAUUUAUUGUGAUGUCUAUAUUGCUGUUAUCUUCUACCAUCUCACUUUAUGUUUCUAGUUGUCCAACUGUUUUAAUGCCCCUUUUCUGACUUCCUCUGA
rnacentral:lncRNA from 1 species